UGGACAGACGGCCGCACCCGACCGGUUCGCCGGAAGGGUGAGGAAAGUCCGAACACGACAGGACACGGUGGUGGGUAACGCCCACCGGCUCUUGAUCGUCGAGUCAGGGAAAGUGCCACAGAGAGCAGACCGCCGGCUUCGGCCGGUAAGGGUGAAAGGGUGCGGUAAGAGCGCACCGCCCGACUGGUGACAGUCGGGGCAAGGUAAACCCCACCGCGUGCAAGCGCAAGCAGUCCUCUACGUCCCUCGGGGCGUGUCCGUUGUCCGCGGGUCGAGGACGGGUCGCGUGCAGGAGAUCGUCGGCGACGGCGGUCCCAGAUGAAUGGUCGUCGCCCCGGUUCGCCGGGGGACAGAAUUCGGCUUACGUC
rnacentral:RNase_P_RNA from 1 species